UACGUAGGAGGCGAGCGUUGUCCGGAUUUAUUGGGCGUAAAGCGCGCGCAGGCGGCACAUCAAGUACGCAGUGAAAUCUCCCUGCUCAACGGGGAGGGAGCAGCGUAAACUGGUGAGCUCGAGGACGGUAGAGGGGGGUAGAAUUGCUGGUGUAGCGGUGAAAUGCGUAGAGAUCAGCAGGAAUACCCGUGGCGAAGGCGGCCCCCUGGGCCGAACCUGACGCUGAGGCGCGAAGGCUAGGGGAGCGAACGGGAUUAGAUACCCCGGUAGUCCUAGCAGUAAACGAUGGCCACUAGGUGUGGGGGGUGUUGACCCCUUCCGUGCCGAAGCUAACGCAUUAAGUGGCCCGCCUGGGGAGUACGGUCGCAAGACUAAA
rnacentral:rRNA from 1 species